rnacentral:lncRNA from 1 species
ACGAGUCCAAAACAAGCAGGCCAGUAUCUCCAUGGCAGAGGAGACUUACCAAUAUGGCCUUUAUCAGCUGUUUAGAUAUCAUUUUUAUACUGAAUAAACAGAGUUAAAUUCUGUAGCAUUAAAAGUGAGCAGAUAUACUGAUAAAAAACAGAGCAGGCGAGAGACCGCAAAUCGUGAGUGGGUAACAGGCUAUUCCUAUUACCAAUUUAUGGCUUACCAAUGGAUAACUGUGUCUCAUAGUGACACAUGCGGCUUGGUUUGCCACAAAAUUCUCCACGAAAUUGAAU